rnacentral:rRNA from 1 species
AUGAAAAAAAACAAGCCCACUGGCAAUGAUCAUUGGAGCUUUGUUUUUAAUGCUAUCAUUGAACAAGCUGGUUUAAGGGAGUUACCCCUGGGAGGGAGGAAAUAUACUUGGGCUAAUAACCAAAGUGAUCCUACCUAUGAAAAAUUAGACAGAGUACUGAUUUGUCCUAAUUGGGAAGAACAUUACCCCUUAACUACUGUG